CCUCCUCCUCCUCCUCCUCCUCCUCCUCCUCCUCCUCCUCCUCCUCCUGUCAUUUGACCUUUUACGUUGGUGAUGCUCACCUGCUUAAAUAAAUGCGUCUGUUUCUUAUAAAGAAUACGACGGACUUUGUCGUGUUUCAGCUCUCUCUUCUGAGAUCGACCGAUUCCCUUUGCACCCGCAGAUAUUUGAUCGUUAUUUAGGAGUAGGGAAUAAGACUUGGGUUUUAGACACUUUGCCUCUUUUAGGGGAACCUCCUCCGUCUGAGAUUUUAAUAAUCCGAGCUUGCCCUUGACAAAUUGAUCGUACAAGGGAUGGUCGUGGCUAAGAUGAGAAGAGUCUUUCCAGUCUUUUAAAGGAGACAUUGAUAAUUCUUUAUCAUUAUCAUGUCUCCACAGAGAGAGUAUAGCUAUCGGUACCGGAGUAGCAAAGCUUCACCCAAUCUCCGUAAUGAGCCUUUAAAACUUAUAAUAAAAGUUAUACAACUUCCGUUUUAGUUUACACAACUUCAGCUUAGCCAGUACCAAGAGGGUAAAUCCAAUGCACUGUGGCAAUUCAUGUUAACGGGUUGAAGCCUUGUUAUUACCCGGUGAGGGGCAAGGGUCGCGAGUCUUUUGAAGAGAGGGCUUCUGAUCUCUUUCAGAAAUGACGCGUUGCACAUGCUAGUAUGUUUUUUUUUUUUUUCCAGAGGGUUUACUAAACACCGCCGGAAUACACUGUUUGAGAGCGUUUCAAAACACGACUGUUACUCUUUAUCAGCGGUUUCACGACGCGCCUUAGUAUUUUCGUGAAUAAAAGGCGAUAAAUAAUCACGUUGGGAGAAUUCGUACACUUCACACACUCGCUGCCCCUCCAUCCCAUAGCUCUCUCUCUCCUCCUCUCCUCCUCCUCCUCCUCUUCCUCCUCCUCCUCCCUCCUCCGAAGUCAAGUAGAAGGUGUAUAUGUUUAAGCAGAAUGAGGUAAUCCUUCUGCGGGUGUGAUGUUUUUUUUUCUGGUACGCGUCUGUUCUGCGGGGCUAGGAGAUGCUUGUUAUACGGAUGUCCUGAUUUCUGAUGUUCAUGUGGUGAAUGAGGAGAGGCAGCUCGUCUGUACUUUUAAUUCAGCCACUAUCUAGUGCCCAGUAUCGCCGCUUUCAUUGUACUUAGUUUGUAGUGGGCUGUCUGUAUAUACUUCCUCCCACGGUCCCCCACAUAUGCCUUCCGUCUCCCCCCUUACGAGAUGAAGGACGGCCUCGUACGCCUCCGAGGUCGCCCAAAUCCCCUGCUUUUAUCCCCCGGGGGUGAGGAUGCCCGUCGCGGCGAGGAGGCUGCGACAACAGAAAACGGGAAGCGCACCUGGAGCGUCUCACGGGCGCGGCUGCGUUUCCUGUGAUUGUGUUUCAUUUGUUUUACGUUAGUUGUGUGUGCAUUUGAUAAACAUUUUUACAUCAUGUUUUAGACGAACCUUUGCCGUAUCAGAAAUAGACCACCAAAGAGAAACUGAAACUGAAAAGAAACUUUUAAACUUUAUUAAUCUUAUUUAUUAUCAUGUUAUCAUAAUUUCAUUUUGAAUAUUUUACAUCUUCCAUUUUUUUACAAUUUUAUGAACUUAUUUUACUAUGAUAUGCACUUGUGCACGAUGUUUUUUUUUCUUAAUUUUACUAUUUUAUUUCACAGAACAUUUAUUCAUUUUUGAACACUUUUAAAACAUUUUAAUUAUAAUAAGAAGAAUAUCUUAGUGGUCCUAAGACUUUUUAGUUGCAAAUCCUGUGAGAACCAAAGUCCCAGGUCCUUCAGGCAGUCCCAGCUCGAGUUGCAGGAGUUGCAGUGCCGGAAUCUAUGGUUGUGCGCAGGAUAAUGGUGGUCUCGCCGAUAUAUAGCUAGCAUAUAACCGCGAAUGGAGUCGAACAGCUAAGAAGAAGACGAAUGUGAAGAAGAAUAGGCUUGAUCUGCAGAAACAAGCCGAGAGACAGGAAAGGGAGGCAAUGCAAACUGCACAGGAGGCAGUUUGGGCUCAAGCGGCGCAGGAGGCGCAGGCUGAGAUGCAGGCACGAAACAACUAGAUUACUCGACGACUCUGCCGUGUCCGGGGAAAAGGCGCUCCACCUGCCUCGCCCCGCAGACAUCAGGCACGGCAGAGUCGUGCGCUCGACCAACGCCGCACGAGAGGUAGGUCAAAGGGAAAUUAUGUUUUCAUGUUAGCAUAGCCUUGAUUAUAUUGUUUUUGUUUCUUCUUUUGUUUGUUUGUUUAUGUGGAGUUACGUAUGUUUUACUGUGAUUAUUAUGUUUACUGAAGUUAUGUAUUUUAUCUUUCACUGUAAUUGUAGCGUCAUUAUUGUAUAUUUAUGUACUCACUCCAAGUGCAUCACAAACAUAAAAACUACAAUUAAGUAUCAUGCUGUACCACGA
rnacentral:lncRNA from 1 species